CGAAUAUACAUACCGCUCUACCCUGCCCAAUGAGGAAUUAAAUGGCCGCAGUAUUUUGACUGUGCAAAGGUAGCAUAAUUAUUAGUUUUUUAAUUGAAAGCUUGUAUGAAGGGUUGGACGAGAUAAAAUCUGUCUCUAUUUAAAUUAAAAUAGAAUUUAACUUUUAAGUCAAAAGGCUUAAAUGUCUAUAAAAGACGAGAAGACCCUAUAGAUCUUUAUUUAAUUAAUAUUUUAAUAAUUUAGGAUUAUUUUAAUUUAAAGUUUUAAUUAAAUUUUAUUGGGGUAAUAUAAAGAUUAAAAAAAUUCUUUUUAUUAAUUACAUUGAUUUAUGAAUUUAUGAUCCAAUAUUAUUGAUUAUAAGAUUAAGUUACCUUAGGGAUAACAGCGUAAUUUUUUUGGAGAGCUCAUAUCGAUAAAAAAGUUUGCGACCUCGAUGUUGGAUUAAAAAUUAUCUUGGGUGCAGAAGUUCAAGAUUUUGGUCUGUUCGACCAUUAAAUUUUUACAUGAUCUGAGUUCAGACCGGCGUAAGCCAGGUCGGUUUCUAUCUUUAUUUAAUUAAAAUAUUUUAGUACGAAAGGACCAAAUAUUUAAUAUAAUUAUAUUUAUUUUUUGAAUAAUAUUAUUACUUUGGCAGAUUAGUGCAAUGAAUUUAGAAUUCAUAUAUGUAAUUUUAUUACAGGUAAUACUUGUAUUUAGGGGAUUUAUUGUUAAUGGUACUUUGUAUAUUGAUUCUUGUAAUUUGUGUACUGGUUGGGGUAGCUUUUUUAACAUUAUUAGAACGUAAGGUAUUAGGUUAUAUUCAGAUUCGAAAGGGCCCUAAUAAGGUCGGAUUUAUG
rnacentral:rRNA from 1 species